UAGUCCUCUACCUUCAAGCUUUUGACCAACAUAUCAUUCACUUACCUCCAUUGUCUUUCCAUUGAGGUCAACGAACAUCUUCUUAACAAGUCUCUAAUAAGUAGCUUCGCAUUUUUUAGCCUAAAAGGCAUCAUCUUGUAGCAAUAGAGACAUUUAUCCAUUAUGAAUGAUGUGUACUUUUCAUCCAUUAGAUGCAUUAGGAUCUGGUUGUAGCUUGAGUAGAAGUCCAUGAAGCUCAACAGUUCAUGCCCCACAGUAGAAUCAAUGAGCUGAUCUAUUCAUGGUAGUGGAAAACUAUCCUCAAAACGGGGUUUGAUUAAGAUUGGAAAAUCUAUGCAUACCCACCACUUUCCAUUGUGUUUCUUAACAAGGACAGGAUUUGAUACCCACUUUGGAUAAAUCGAUUCUCGAAUGAAGCAGUUGUCGGUCAAUUUCUUUACUUCAUGCUUUAGUGCCUCAUAUCCUCCGGAUUGAGGGCUAUCAUUUUCUACCGACGAUGGGUCACCAUGGGAUCAAUCUUUAAAUGGUUUUUCUAACUACAAGGAUUUUGAGGGGUCCUGAAAAUCCACCAUGAAGCUCUCUAACUCUUCUACUAUGGCUAUAUGAGGGUCGUCAUCCAUGUCAAUGUCCAAUACAAUUACAUUGACAUCUCCUGGUUCAACUUUCUUUAUGGAGUUUGAGUAGCAUUCCUUACACUCGUUUGAUUGCCUCCAUUUGUGGCGAUGUUGUUUUCCAUUUGAAAUUUCAUUCACAAGUGGUGAAUGGACGUGACGGCUCAUAGUUCCUUUAAUGCUAGCCUCCCAGCAUUCCAUGGUAGGCAGAACUGUUGUCCACCACCAAACGUUCCAUGAAAUGAUGAGCAGUUAAUGGUGUCGUUCUUGUAGAGUGAUUUUUCUUCUUAGGAUGAUGCUAUCCCUAGUGAAACCAUACAAAAAGAGUUCAUUGGGAUCAACUCAUGAUCAACUUCUAUUUUAUCAGAGAUUGUU